AAAGGUAAGCUACUAAGAGCGAAUGGUGGAUGCCUUGACUGGUAAAGGCGAUGAAGGACGUACUAGACUGCGAUAAGCUACGGGGAGCUGUCAAGAAGCUUUGAUCCGUAGAUUUCCGAAUGGGGCAACCCAAUGUAUAGAGAUAUACAUUACCUAUAUAGGAGCGAACGAGGGGAAUUGAAACAUCUUAGUACCCUCAGGAAAAGAAAUCAAUAGAGAUUGCGUCAGUAGCGGCGAGCGAAAGCGCAAGAGGGCAAACCCAGUGCUUGCACUGGGGGUUGUAGGACUGCAAUGUGCAAGAGGUGAGUUUAGCAGAACAUUCUGGAAAGUAUAGCCAUAGAGGGUGAUAGUCCCGUAUGCGAAAAACAAACCUUAGCUAGCAGUAUCCUGAGUAGGGCGGGACACGAGAAAUCCUGUCUGAAGCUGGGUCGACCACGAUCCAACCCUAAAUACUAAUACCAGAUCGAUAGU
rnacentral:rRNA from 1 species